GAUGAACGCUAGCGGCAGGCCUAAUACAUGCAAGCCGAACGGCAAGUUUGAUAGCAAUAUUGGACCUAGAGUGGCGCAAGGGUGCGUAACACGUAUGCAACCUGCCCGCGACAGGAGGAUAGCUCCCCGAAAGGGGAAUUAACCCUCCAUAACACCAUGAGAAGGCAUCUGAUUAUGGUUAAACCGCAAGGGUUCGCGGAUGUGCAUGCGGUUGAUUAGCUAGUUGGCGGGGUAAAGGCCCACCAAGGCGGUGAUCAAUAGGGGUUCUGAGAGGAAGGUCCCCCACACUGGCACUGAGACACGGGCCAGACUCCUACGGGAGGCAGCAGUAGGGAAUAUUGGAGCAUGGUUGCAAGACUGAUCCAGCCAUGCAGCGUGCAGGAAGAAGGCCUUCUGGGUCGUAAACUGCUUUUUCCUGUGGAUAAAAUACCCGUGCGCGGGGAAUUGAAGGUAACAGGGGAAUAAGCCACGGCUAACUACGUG
rnacentral:rRNA from 1 species